rnacentral:rRNA from 1 species
AGAGUUUGAUCCUGGCUCAGGACGAACGCUGGCGGCGUGCCUAACACAUGCAAGUCGAGCGAAGAAUUUAUCAUGAAGCCUUCGGGUGGAAUGAUAAACUUCUUAGCGGCGGAUGGGUGAGUAACGCGUGAGGAACCUGCCUUCCACAAGGGGAUAGCCUCGGGAAACCGGGAUUAAUACCCUAUGAAACUUAGAAAUCGCAUGAUAUUUAAGUUAAAGCGUUAGCGGUGGAAGAUGGUCUCGCGUCCCAUUAGCUAGUUGGUGAGUUAAAAGCUCACCAAGGCAACGAUGGGUAGCCGGCUUGAGAGAGUGACCGGCCACACUGGAACUGAGACACGGUCCAGACUCCUACGGGAGGCAGCAGUGGGGAAUAUUGCACAAUGGAGGGAACUCUGAUGCAGCGACGCCGCGUGAGCGAUGAAGGCCUUCGGGUCGUAAAGCUCUGUCCUAUGGGACGAUAAUGACGGUACCAUAGGAGGAACGCCCGGCUAACCNNGNGNNNNCAGCNGCCGCGGUAAUANNNNNNNNCUUAANCNUCAUAUUUUUAAUAACUAACAUACUUUAAAAUAAUAUAUAAAUUUGCCUAUCCAUUUAGGUUUAUUAAGCUUAUUUAAAAUAUAAAUUAUAGAUCGUUACAUUGUAUAAAUACAGGAUUAGUAUUCUAAUAUUAUUUACAAAAUUAUUUUUUAAUUGUUUUCCAACAAUUACUUGUGACACUAUCAAUUAACUAUCUAAUAUUAAAAAUAUAUUGACAAAUGACAAAAAACUAUGGUAUUAUUAAGAUAGCUGUCAGAAGCAAGUUGUAAAAAAUGAAAAAUUAAAAACAAAAACUUCUUGACAACAUAAAUAAAAUUUGUUAUAUUAUAAAAGUCGGCUCUGAAAGGCGUCGACAACAAAUGAACCUAGACAACUAAACAGUGUGAAGUACUUUGAGUAAGAAAUAUUUUAACAGGCAAACUUUUCAAAUGAGAGUUUGAUCCUGGCUCAGGACGAACGCUGGCGGCGUGCCUAACACAUGCAAGUCGAGCGAAGAAUUUAUCAUGAAGCCUUCGGGUGGAAUGAUAAACUUCUUAGCGGCGGAUGGGUGAGUAACGCGUGAGGAACCUGCCUUCCACAAGGGGAUAGCCUCGGGAAACCGGGAUUAAUACCCUAUGAAACUUAGCAAUCGCAUGAUAUUUAAGUUAAAGCGUUAGCGGUGGAAGAUGGCCUCGCGUCCCAUUAGCUAGUUGGUGAGUUAAAAGCUCACCAAGGCAACGAUGGGUAGCCGGCUUGAGAGAGUGACCGGCCACACUGGAACUGAGACACGGUCCAGACUCCUACGGGAGGCAGCAGUGGGGAAUAUUGCACAAUGGAGGGAACUCUGAUGCAGCGACGCCGCGUGAGCGAUGAAGGCCUUCGGGUCGUAAAGCUCUGUCCUAUGGGACGAUAAUGACGGUACCAUAGGAGGAAGCCCCGGCUAACUACGUGCCAGCAGCCGCGGUAAUACGUAGGGGGCGAGCGUUGUCCGGAAUUACUGGGCGUAAAGGGUACGCAGGCGGUCAAAUAAGUCAGAUGUGAAAGGCGUAGGCUUAACCUAUGUAAGCAUUUGAAACUGUUUGGCUUGAGUUAAGGAGAGGAAAGUGGAAUUCCUGGUGUAGCGGUGAAAUGCGUAGAUAUCAGGAGGAAUAUCAGUGGCGAAGGCGACUUUCUGGACUUAAACUGACGCUGAGGUACGAAAGCGUGGGGAGCAAACAGGAUUAGAUACCCUGGUAGUCCACGCCGUAAACGAUGAGUGCUAGGUGUCGGAGGGUAACCUUCGGUGCCGAAGUUAACACAUUAAGCACUCCGCCUGGGGAGUACGUUCGCAAGAAUGAAACUCAAAGGAAUUGACGGGGACCCGCACAAGCAGCGGAGCAUGUGGUUUAAUUCGAUGCAACGCGAAGAACCUUACCAGGGCUUGACAUCCCUCGGGCCGUCUUAGAGAUAAGACCUUCUCUUCGGAGACUGAGGGACAGGUGGUGCAUGGUUGUCGUCAGCUCGUGUCGUGAGAUGUUGGGUUAAGUCCCGCAACGAGCGCAACCCUUGCCUUUAGUUGCCAACAGUUAGGCUGUGCACUCUAGAGGGACUGCCGAUGAUAAAUCGGAGGAAGGUGGGGAUGACGUCAAAUCAUCAUGCCCUUUAUGUCCUGGGCUACACACGUGCUACAAUGGUCGGUACAACGGGUAGCGACUUAGUGAUAAGGAGCCAAUCCCUUAAAACCGAUCCCAGUUCGGAUUGCAGGCUGCAACUCGCCUGCAUGAAGCCGGAGUUGCUAGUAAUCGUGGAUCAGAAUGCCACGGUGAAUGCGUUCCCGGGUCUUGUACACACCGCCCGUCACACCAUGGGAGUUAGCAAUACCCGAAGCCAGUGAGCCAACCGUAAGGGAGCAACUGUCGAAGGUAGGGUUAAUGACUGGGGUGAAGUCGUAACAAGGUAGCCGUAUCGGAAGGUGCGGCUGGAUCACCU